GGAGGAAUAGCUCAGUGGUAGAGCAUGUGCUUGGUGUGCACAAGGUCCUGGGUUCAAUCCCCACGUACUUCCU